AGGGAUCAUUACAGAGUUAUCUAACUCCCAAACCCAUGUGAACUUACCUUACUGUUGCCUCGGCAGGCUUCCGCAUCCCUUGAGGUGCGGGCCAAAAGGCCUGCCGGCGGCCCCUUCAAACUCUUGAAUUACCCUGUAACUCUGAGUAAAAAACAAAAAUAAAUCAAAACUUUUAACAACGGAUCUCUUGGUUCUGGCAUCGAUGAAGAACGCAGCGAAAUGCGAUAAGUAAUGUGAAUUGCAGAAUUCAGUGAAUCAUCGAAUCUUUGAACGCACAUUGCGCCUAUUAGUAUUCUAGUAGGCAUGCCUAUUCGAGCGUCAUUUCAACCCUUAAGCUUAGCUUAGUGUUGGGAGAUUACUCCUUGUAACUCCCCAAAACCAUUGGCAGAGUUGAUACACCUCUGAGCGUAGUAAUUUCACCUCGCUUCUGCGGCCUGUAUUAGCAAUCGCCACAAGCCUAUUAUUUCUUAUGGUUGACCUCGGAUUAGGUAGGAAUACCCGCUGAACUUAAGCAUAUCAAUAAGCGGAGGAAAAGAAACCAACAGGGAUUGCCCUAGUAACGGCGAGUGAAGCGGCAACAGCUCAAAUUUGAAAUCUGGCCUAGCCCGAGUUGUAAUUUGUAGAGGAUGCUUUUGGCGCGGUGCCUUCCGAGUUCCCUGGAACGGGACGCCUUANAGGGUGAGAGCCCCGUACGGUUGGUCGCUAAGCCUUUGUAAAGCUCCUUCGACGAGUCGAGUAGUUUGGGAAUGCUGCUCUAAAUGGGAGGUAUAUUUCUUCUAAAGCUAAAUACCGGCCAGAGACCGAUAGCGCACAAGUAGAGUGAUCGAAAGAUGAAAAGCACUUUGAAAAGAGGGUUAAAUAGCACGUGAAAUUGUUGAAAGGGAAGCGCCCGUGACCAGACUUGCACCUUUUGAAUCAUCCAGCGUUCUCGCUGGUGCACUUCAUUUGGUUCAGGCCAGCAUCGGUUUCCGCUGCGGGAUAAAAGCUCUAGGAAUGUGGCUCCCCCGGGAGUGUUAUAGCCUAGUGUAUAAUGCCGCUGUGGGGACCGAGGU
rnacentral:rRNA from 1 species